rnacentral:rRNA from 1 species
AGUACGCUCGCAAGGGUGAAACUCAAAGGAAUUGACGGGGGCCCGCACAAGCGGUGGAGCAUGUGGUUUAAUUCGAUGCAACGCGAAGAACCUUACCAGGACUUGACAUACUACAAAUCCUUUUGAGAAAAAGGAGUGCCUUCGGGAAUGUAGAUACAGGUGGUGCAUGGCUGUCGUCAGCUCGUGUCGUGAGAUGUUGGGUUAAGUCCCGCAACGAGCGCAACCCUUAUUUUUAGUUACCAAUUCGUUGGGUUCUCUAGAAAGACUGCCGGUGACAAACUGGAGGAAGGUGAGGAUGACGUCAAGUCAGCAUGCCCCUUAUGUCCUGGGCUACACACGUGCUACAAUGGUUAAGACAAAGAGUCGCGAGCUCGUAAGAGUCAGCUAAUCUCAUAAACUUAGCCCAAGUUCAGAUUGUAGGCUGCAACUCGCCUGCAUGAAGUUGGAAUCGCUAGUAAUCGCUGGUCAGCCAUACAGCGGUGAAUCCGUUCCCGGGCCUUGUACACACCGCCCGUCACACCAUGGGAGCUGGUCAUACCCGAUACCGUUUGCUUAACCGUUCGGAGGGCGACGUCUAAGGUAGGGCUAGUGACUGGGGUGAAGUCGUAACAAGGUAACC